rnacentral:snoRNA from 1 species
UCAAAUGAUGAUCAACUUUUUAAGUUGGAAUUACCGCCUGAUUCUUAAUGAAGACAAAAAUUGGCUGUUUUACUGAUA